rnacentral:other from 1 species
AAAAUCCUGCUGUGUACGUUUUUAUGGUGGUGUUAUGAGCCAACACUUAUGAAAAGGGAAUCCGGUCUCUGGAUAUGGAAUGAUGUCCCUAUUUAGGGAAACAGGAAGUAUUCAGGAGGAUACCCACCUGCUGGGAGCAGGUUCAAACGAACCAUAUGACGGCAUGGCGGGAUUUUU